UGGCAGACCAUUAAUAGAGACCACGGUGUGCGGUGGCUGCAAACAGCCCCGGGCACUGCACACAACCCGCUGUUUGUGCAGAUUGGCCUUGGGGACCACGGAGACAGCC
rnacentral:snoRNA from 1 species